AGAGUUUGAUCAUGGCUCAGAACGAACGUUAGCGAGAUGUUUUAAGCAUGCAAGUCGAGCGGCAGCACUUCGGGUGGCAAGCGGCGAACGGGUGAGUAGUAGUUAGCAACUUGCCCCCCAGACGGGAAUAGCCACUGUAAUGGUGAUUAAUGCCCGAUAUUGAGGAAACUUGAAAGGCGCGUUGGUGCCGCUGGGGGAUAGGGCUAACCCCUAUUAGCUUGUUGGUAGGGUAAGAGCCUACCAAGGCGAUGAUAGGUAGCCGGCCUGAGAGGGCGAUCGGCCACACUGGGACUGAGAUACGGCCCAGACUCCUACGGGAGGCAGCAGCUGAGAAUAUUCCGCAAUGGGGGAAACCCUGACGGAGCAAUUUCGCAUGGACGAUGAAGGCUUUCGAGUUGUAAAGUCCUUUCGGCAGGAAAGAAUAAUGCAGUAAGGAAAUGUGCUGCAGAUGACGGUACCUGCAAAAGAAGCCCCGGCUAACUACGUGCCAGCAGCCGCGGUAAUACGUAGGGGGCGAACGUUGUUCGGAAUCACUGGGCGUAAAGGGUGCGCAGGCUGCUCAUCAAGUCAGUUGUGAAAUUUCGUGGCUCAACCACGAAGCUGCUGCUGAUACUGUUGGGCUAGAGUCAUAGAUAGAGGUAGCGGGAAUUCCUGGUGUAGGAGUGAAAUCUGUAGAUAUCAGGAGGAACACCAAGGGUGAAGACAAGCUACUGGGUAAUGACUGACGCUGAGGCACGAAAGCUAGGGGAGCAAAUGGGAUUAGAGACCCCAGUAGUCCUAGCCGUAAACACUGUACACUAGCUUUAAGGGAUGACGAGAGUCUUCUUUUGAAACGUAGCUAACGCAUUAAGUGUACCGCCUGGGUAGUAUGCACGCAAGUGUGAAACUCAAAGAAAUUGACGGGGGCUCGCACAAGUGGUGGAGCAUGUGGUUUAAUUCGAUGAUACGCGAAAAACCUUACCUGGGCUUAAACGUCUUCUGACAGGCGGUGAAAGUCGUUUUCCCUUCGGGGCAGGAGGCGAGGUGCUGCAUGGCUGUCGUCAGCUCGUGUUGUGAAAUGUUGGGUUAAGUCCCGCAACGAGCGCAACCCAUGUCCUAUGUUGCUAGUCGCUCUUCGGAGCGAAGAACUCUUAGGAGACUGCCUGUGGAUAACCAGGAGGAAGGAGUGGAUGACGUCAAGUCCUCAUGGCCCUUAUGUCCAGGGCUACACACGUGCUACAAUGGGUUCUACAAAGAGAUGCUAAGCUGCGAAGCCAAGCCAAUCUCAAAAAAGAACUCUUAGUUCGGAUUGGAGUCUGCAAUUCGACUCCAUGAAGCUGGAAUCACUAGUAAUCGCGGAUCAGCAUGCCGCGGUGAAUGCGUUCUCGAGCCUUGUACACACCGCCCGUCAAACCAUCCGAAUCGAUUUUACCCGAAGUCGCAAUACCAACCUUUUAGGGGGAAUGCGCCGAAGGUGGAUUUGGUAAGGAGGGUUAAGUCGUAACAAGGUAACCGUA
rnacentral:rRNA from 1 species